ACUGUUUCCCAGUUGUACCAGGGGUGCUGAAAAGGAAUAUGAUCUCCUAGACUUCUAUAGUGGGAAAGCAUCUAAAAAUGCCUUCAGGACUUCAGAUAGAAGCCACCACCAGAGAAGAAGGAAGGUAGUUGUAUAUAGCAGGGAAAGUAACACUGGAGCAGGAAGGACAAGUGGCGAAUGGGGGACCUCCCUUUCAGCUACAGGUGGCAUUCUGGCCAGUCUGGCCGAUGAUCUGUUAAGUGGAAUUCUGCCAGGAAGACUCCAGGAAAAAUAAAAGUGACUGGCUUAACGAUGGACAUAUAACCCAGUUUUGAAGGUUAUCUUUGAAUGUAAAGCAGAGACUCCCAUCAGAAAACUCUUCAAAAUCCCUGCCAUUCCUAAGGCUCACGUGAAAGAACAUCUAAGACCACUCUUUUCAGUGACAGACAUCUCCAUGGGCUGUUCUUUGUGACCACCGGCUGUGUUGUGAGAACUGUUUUGGUCUUGCUUUUCUUCAUGCCUGUCAAAGGCCACAGAGUGUUGAAGCCUGCAAACGCAGCCUGAAUCAGCACGGACCCCGGAGACUUUCAACAGCAUCUCAAUAAAACUUUCAAUUAUCUCCAU
rnacentral:lncRNA from 1 species